rnacentral:tRNA from 1 species
GGGGGCAUAGCUCGGUGGUAGAGCACAUGCUUAGCAUGCACAAGGUCCUGGGUUCAAUCCCAGUACCUCCA